rnacentral:rRNA from 1 species
UACGGAGGGAGCUAGCGUUGUUCGGAAUUAUUGGGCGUAAAGGGCUCGUAGGCGGUUUGUCGCGUCGGGAGUGAAAACACCGGGCUUAACUCGGUGCUUGCUUUCGAUACGGGCAGACUAGAGGCAUGCAGGGGAGAACGGAAUUCCUGGUGUAGCGGUGAAAUGCGCAGAUAUCAGGAGGAACACCGGUGGCGAAGGCGGUUCUCUGGGCAUGUCCUGACGCUGAGGAGCGAAAGUGUGGGGAGCGAACAGG